UGUAUGUUAUAUGUAUGUAUGCAUGUAUAUGUGUGUGUAUAUAUACAUAUACAUACACACAGACACAUACAUAUAUCUAUA
rnacentral:miRNA from 1 species